rnacentral:rRNA from 1 species
AUUGAACGCUGGCGGCAUGCUUUACACAUGCAAGUCGAACGGUAACAGGCCGCAAGGUGCUGACGAGUGGCGAACGGGUGAGUAAUGCAUCGGAACGUGCCCAGUCGUGGGGGAUAACGCAGCGAAAGCUGCGCUAAUACCGCAUACGAUCUAUGGAUGAAAGCGGGGGACCGUAAGGCCUCGCGCGAUUGGAGCGGCCGAUGUCAGAUUAGGUAGUUGGUGGGGUAAAGGCCCACCAAGCCAACGAUCUGUACCUGGUCUGAGAGGACGACCAGCCACACUGGGACUGAGACACGGCCCAGACUCCUACAGGAGGCAGCAGUGGGGAAUUUUGGACAAUGGGCGCAAGCCUGAUCCAGCAAUGCCGCGUGCAGGAAGAAGGCCUUCGGGUUGUAAACUGCUUUUGUACGGAACGAAACGGCUCUGGUUAAUACCUGGGGCUAAUGACGGUACCGUAAGAAUAAGCACCGGCUAACUACAUGCCAGCCGCCGCGGUAAAAC